GUCCUGACAAAUUCUCGUGCCAGCAGUCGCGGUAAUACGAGGAGGGCAAGCGUUAAUCAUCAUAAUUCGGUCUAAAGCGUUCGUAGAACGGCUUUUUAAGUCCCUACCCAUAAAGAGGCGAUACUGAUUAGCUAGAGUUGGAUAGGAGAGGGAAGAAUUUCCGGAGGAACAUGGAUUAAAUCAGGAUACCGGAGAGACUUCCAGAGGCGAAAGCAUCCCUCUAUAUCUAAACUGACGUUGAGGAACUAAAGCUAGGGGAGCGAGCCGGAUUCGAUACCCGAGUAGUCCUAGCCUACAGCGAUGAAUGCUCAUACUUGAAUUAAAUUAUUGAUAACAUGGGUAAUAGUAUAUAUAGAUUACAAUAUUGCUAUUAUGUAGAUUUUAUUUUAUUUAAGUUUGAAUAUAAGAAAUAUAUAUGAUCAUUUUUUUAUUUCUUAUAAUCAGUCUACCUGGAUAUUUUGGACAUCUUAAAGAUUAUAUUCUAAUUCUUGUAUAACCUUAAUGUAUUUUAAGACAAUUAGAAUUUACAAACCUUUAUUGUCGAUUAAUCUUUUAAUUAAAAGUUAUGCUAUUAAUUAAAGAAGAACCAUAAUUAUUAUUAUAACCUUGAUUGGAUCUUUAUUUUUAUUAAAAUAAAUGCAAUUUUUAAUAAUAGUUAAAAUACUUAUAGAAUAAAGGACCAAAAUCCUUGUAAAAUAAAAAUAUUAUCACCUUCUUUUCUAUUAAAUUAUAUAAUUUAAUACCAUAAAUAAAUAAUAUUUAUUUAAGAUAUAAAUUAGAGAUUUAAAACAUCAGAAGGACCGACUUCUGUAUAUUUUCUUUUUAUAAAAUAUACUUAUUAGUAAGUUAUACAGUAAUGCUCAGAAUUUUAGUAUCUAGUGAAGACGUUAAGCAUUCCACCUGGAGAGUACGUCUGAAAGGAUGAAAUCCAAAACAUUAGNCGGUUGCAGACUUCAGCAGUUAAGCAU
rnacentral:rRNA from 1 species